AUAGUACUCCCUCCGUCCCAUAUUAAGUGACUCAAAUUUGUCCAAAUAUGAAUGUAUCUAUGCCUAAAAAGCGUCUAAAUACAUGUAAUAGAAAGUCACUUAAUAUAGGACGGAGGGAGUAUGUA
rnacentral:pre_miRNA from 1 species